rnacentral:rRNA from 1 species
GUGAGGAAUAUUGGUCAAUGGGCGGGAGCCUGAACCAGCCAAGUCGCGUGAAGGAAGAAGGAUCUAUGGUUCGUAAACUUCUUUUGCAGGGGAAUAAAGUGCAGGACGUGUCCUGUUUUGUAUGUACCCUGAGAAUAAGGAUCGGCUAACUCCGUGCCAGCAGCCGCGGUAAUACGGAGGGUCCGAGCGUUAUCCGGAUUUAUUGGGUUUAAAGGGUGCGUAGGUGGUUUGAUAAGUCAGCGGUGAAAGUUUGCAGCUUAACUGUAAAAAUGCCGUUGAAACUGUCGGACUUGAGUGUAAAUGAGGUAGGCGGAAUGCGUGGUGUAGCGGUGAAAUGCAUAGAUAUCACGCAGAACUCCGAUUGCGAAGGCAGCUUACUAAGCUACAACUGACACUGAAGCACGAAAGCGUGGGGAUCAAACAGGAUUAGAAACCCUGGUAGUCC